rnacentral:rRNA from 1 species
CACAUGCAAGUCGAGCGGUUGAAGGGAGCUUGCUUCCUGAUUCAGCGGCGGACGGGUGAGUAAUGCCUAGGAAUCUGCCUGGUAGUGGGGGACAACGUUUCGAAAGGAACGCUAAUACCGCAUACGUCCUACGGGAGAAAGCAGGGGACCUUCGGGCCUUGCGCUAUCAGAUGAGCCUAGGUCGGAUUAGCUAGUUGGUGAGGUAAUGGCUCACCAAGGCGACGAUCCGUAACUGGUCUGAGAGGAUGAUCAGUCACACUGGAACUGAGACACGGUCCAGACUCCUACGGGAGGCAGCAGUGGGGAAUAUUGGACAAUGGGCGAAAGCCUGAUCCAGCCAUGCCGCGUGUGUGAAGAAGGUCUUCGGAUUGUAAAGCACUUUAAGUUGGGAGGAAGGGCAGUAAGCGAAUACCUUGCUGUUUUGACGUUACCGACAGAAUAAAGCACCGGCUAACUCUGUGCCAGCAGCCGCGGUAAUACAGAGGGUGCAAGCGUUAAUCGGAAUUACUGGGCGUAAAGCGCGCGUAAGGUGGUUUGUUAAGUUGGAUGUGAAAUCCCCGGGCUCAACCUGGGAAC